rnacentral:rRNA from 1 species
ACGGGAGGCAGCAGUGGGGGAUAUUGCACAAUGGAGGAAACUCUGAUGCAGCAACGCCGCGUGAAGGAAGAAGGUCUUCGGAUUGUAAACUUCUGUUUUUAGUGAAGAAACAAAUGACGGUAGCUAAAGAGGAAGCCACGGCUAACUACGUGCCAGCAGCCGCGGUAAUACGUAGGUGGCAAGCGUUGUCCGGAUUUACUGGGUGUAAAGGGUGCGCAGGCGGGACUGCAAGUUGGAUGUGAAAUACCGAGGCUUAACCUCGGGGCUGCAUCCAAAACUGUAGUUCUUGAGUGGAGUAGAGGUAAGCGGAAUUCCGAGUGUAGCGGUGAAAUGCGUAGAUAUUCGGAGGAACACCAGUGGCGAAGGCGGAUUACUGGACGACAACUGACGGUGAGGCGCGAAAGCGUGGGGAGCGAACAGGAUUAGAUACCCUGGUA